rfam:Gossypium arboreum cultivar AKA8401 contig_9782_1, whole genome shotgun sequence.
UGUUCAAAGUUUUAUUUAUUUUUACUGUUAAAACUGGUGUAGUUGACAACAUAAUCAUACAUUUACAUGUGAAGGGACCAGUUUUUAACAGUAAGAAUAGAUGAUAUUUUUAAUA